GACGAACGCUGGCGGCGUGCUUAACACAUGCAAGUCGAGCGAGGUCCAGCCUGUCGCAAGACAGAGGAAGACCUAGCGGCGAACGGGUGAGUAACACGUGAGGAACCUGCCCUGAAGACUGGGAUAACACCGGGAAACCGGUGCUAAUACCGGAUACCCACGAGAGACCGCAUGAUCUCUCGCGGAAAUGAAUUUCGCUUCGGGAGGGCCUCGCGGCCUAUCAGCUUGNGGCGGGGUAACGGCCACCAAGGCUACGACGGGUAGCUGGUCUGAGAGGACGACCAGCCACACUGGGACUGAGACACGGCCCAGACUCCUACGGGAGGCAGCAGUGGGGAAUCUUGCUCAAUGGGCGAAAGCCUGAAGCAGCAACGCCGCGUGCGGGACGAAGG
rnacentral:rRNA from 1 species